AGCGAACGCUGGCGGCAGGCUUAACACAUGCAAGUCGAGCGGGCACUUCGGUGUCAGCGGCAGACGGGUGAGUAACACGUGGGAACGUACCCUUCGGUUCGGAAUAACGCUGGGAAACUAGCGCUAAUACCGGAUACGCCCUUUUGGGGAAAGGUUUACUGCCGAAGGAUCGGCCCGCGUCUGAUUAGCUAGUUGGUGGGGUAAUGGCCUACCGAGGCGACGAUCAGUAGCUGGUCUGAGAGGAUGAUCAGCCACACUGGGACUGAGACACGGCCCAGACUCCUACGGGAGGCAGCAGUGGGGAAUAUUGGACAAUGGGCGCAAGCCUGAUCCAGCCAUGCCGCGUGAGUGAUGAAGGCCUUAGGGUUGUAAAGCUCUUUUGUCCGGGACGAUAAUGACGGUACCGGAAGAAUAAGCCCCGGCUAACUUCGUG
rnacentral:rRNA from 1 species